rnacentral:rRNA from 1 species
AUAUCUUGUCUCAAAGAUUAAGCCAUGCAUGUCUAAGUAUAAGCAAUCAUACUGUGAAACUGCGAAUGGCUCAUUAAAUCAGUUAUCGUUUAUUUGAUAGUACCUUUACCUGGAUAACCGUGGUAAUUCUAGAGCUAAUACAUGCUAACAACCCCGACUUCGGGAGGGGUGUAUUUAUUAGAUAAAAAACCAAUGCCCUUCGGGGCUCCUUGGUGAUUCAUAAUAACUUAACGAAUCGCAUGGCCUUGCGCCGGCGAUGGUUCAUUCAAAUUUCUGCCCUAUCACCUUUCGAUGGUAAGGUAUUGGCUUACCAUGGGAGCAACGGGUAACGGGGAAUAAGGGUUCUAUUCCGGAGAGGGAGCCUGAGAAACGGCUACCACAUCCAAGGAAGGCAGCAGGCGCGCAAAUUACCCAAUCCCGAUACGGGGAGGUAGUGACAAUAAAUACUGAUACGGGGCUCUUUCGGGUCUCGUAAUUGGAAUGAGUACAAUCUAAAUCCCUUAACGAGGAACAAUUGGAGGGCAAGUCUGGUGCCAGCAGCCGCGGUAAUUCCAGCUCCAAUAGCGUAUAUUAAAGUUGUUGCCGUUAAAAAGCUCGUAGUUGAACCUUGGCCCUGGCUGAUCUGUCCUCCUAAUCGAGCGCACGGAUUCGGUCGGGGCUUUCCUUCUGGGGAGCCCCAUGCCCUUCACUGGGUGUGGGGGGGAACCAGGACUUUUACCUUGAAAAAAAUUAAAGUGUUCAAAAGCAGGGCCUUUUGCUCCGAAUACAUUUACCAUGGGAAUAAAUAGAAUAGGGACAUCCGGGUCCUAAUUUUGGUUGGGGUUUCCAAGGGAACCGCCUGGUAAAUGGGAUUUAAAUAAGGGGACAGGUCCGGGGGGGGGG